rnacentral:piRNA from 1 species
UGCAAAAUGGUGUAAGGUCGGCCA